CGUUGUAGACGUACAUUUCUUUAAUUAAACGUAUUAUUAACCUAAAUCUAGCUUAUUUUCUACAUUUUAACACUUAACUAUGUAAUAAAUAAAAUAAAAUAUUAAUUAAAUCUAAUAACUAAAAGUAAAUAACAUUUUAAAACAUAACUUCUUUUAAAGUACAUUCGUACUCAAAAUACUGAAACGUAAUCUGUAGUCAUAAACAGUUUAUGGUAGAAAUUUAGUUUCAUAAACCUGCCCACAUUUUAAUAUUGGUAGAAAUUUAUUGUUCAUAACCUGGUAUUAUUUUUAACAUUCCGUGACAUCGUGACACUUUCAACGGCUGUCGCCGCUCGCUAGCUAGUCAUUCAUUAGCUUUGCCAUCACUGGACUCGAACGUACGCUUGCGCAUCUAAAUAAUAAUUGCUUUCGCACAUAUCAUUGCGACUUAAAAGUAAAUUUUUAAAUAGAUAGUGCACCUUAAGUGUCCUAACCGUUCCGGGUCCGCUAUACAAGGCGCUGCUGGCUCUGUGUACCUGUGUUUUACAUAAAUCCUCAAACCCCCAUAUUGGGGUUUCAGUACGGGAUUUAAGAAGAUUUCAGUACGGGAUUUAGAAGACCUAGGCUUCGCUUCGCUACCUACUGCUGCCUACCCUCUGCUUCGCUUCCGCUUCGGACCUGCAGCUUAGCACGGCGACCUACAACCCCGCCCGUGGCUGACGACCUGUUCCACCGGCAUCUGACCAUCCAGGGGAGUGCUUGAACUACGCAGUGAAAUCAGAUACUAGGCCGACACACCACGACCCGUUCUACCGACUUAGGUGGCCUGCGGCCAUCAAUAAAUUUAUUUUCGUUGGACCUA